rnacentral:rRNA from 1 species
UACGGAGGAUGCAAGCGUUGUCCGGAAUUAUUGGGCGUAAAGCGUCCGCAGGUGGCAAUGUAAGUCUGCUGUCAAAGCGUCUGGCUCAACCAGAUAAAGGCAGUGGAAACUACAUAGCUAGAGUAAGGUAGGGGUAGAGGGAAUUCCUGGUGUAGCGGUGAAAUGCGUAGAGAUCAGGAAGAACACCGGUGGCGAAAGCGCUCUGCUGGACCUUAACUGACACUGAGGGACGAAAGCUAGGGGAGCGAACAGG